rnacentral:rRNA from 1 species
UACGGAGGGGGCAAGCGUUAUCCGGAUUCACUGGGUUUAAAGGGUGCGUAGGUGGGCAUGUAAGUCAGUGGUGAAAUCUCCGGGCUUAACUCGGAAACUGCCAUUGAUACUAUCUGUCUUGAAUACCGUGGAGGUUAGCGGAAUAUGUCAUGUAGCGGUGAAAUGCUUAGAUAUGACAUAGAACACCAAUUGCGAAGGCAGCUGGCUACACGAAUAUUGACACUGAUGCACGAAAGCGUGGGGAUCAAACAGG